GUCUCAGUGGUGUAGUGGUUAGCGCACGAGCCCUGGUUAGACGCGAGAUCGCGGGUUCGAAUCCAGCCUGAGAUG
rnacentral:tRNA from 1 species